rnacentral:rRNA from 1 species
AUACAAUGGAGAGUUUGAUCCUGGCUCAGGAUGAACGCUAGCGGGAGGCCUAACACAUGCAAGCCGAGCGGUAGAUUACUUUCGGGUAAUUGAGAGCGGCGUACGGGUGCGGAACACGUGUGCAACCUGCCUUUAUCAGGGGGAUAGCCUUUCGAAAGGAAGAUUAAUACCCCAUAAUAUAUUAUUCGGCAUCGGGUGAUAUUGAAAACUACGGUGGAUAGAGAUGGGCACGCGCAAGAUUAGCUAGUUGGUGAGGUAACGGCUCACCAAGGCGACGAUCUUUAGGGGGCCUGAGA